UGAGUGACCUGCCGAUUUGUGGGGGAUAGCCGGGCCAACGCCCGGGUAAUACCGCAUACGCUCUUCCUGGGGCAUCUCUAGAAGAGGAAACCUCCGGGGCAAAUCGAGGGACUCGCGGCCUAUCAGCUAGUUGGCGAGGUAACGGCUCACCAAGGCGACGACGGGUAGCUGGUCUGAGAGGACGACCAGCCACACUGGAACUGAGAUACGGUCCAGACUCCUACGGGAGGCAG
rnacentral:rRNA from 1 species